rnacentral:rRNA from 1 species
CCUACGGGAGGCAGCAGUGAGGAAUCUUGGUCAAUGGGCGAGAGCCUGAACCAGCCAAGUCGCGUGAGGGAGUACUGCCCUAUGGGUUGUAAACCUCUUUUGUCGGGGAGCAAAAGCCGGACGUGUCCGGCUGUGAGAGUACCCGAAGAAAACGCAUCGGCUAACUCCGUGCCAGCAGCCGCGGUAAUACGGAGGAUGCGAGCGUUAUCCGUAUUUAUUGGGUUUAAGGGGUGCGCAGGCGGAUUUUUAAGUCAGCGGUAAAAUCGUGGGGCUCAACCCCAUCCAGCCGUUGAAACUGGGGAUCUAGAGUGUGCGAGAGGUAUGCGGAAUGCGUGGUGUAGCGGUGAAAUGCAUAGAUAGCACGCAGAACCCCGAUUGCGAAGGCAGCAUACCGGUGCACAACUGACGCUCAGGCACGAAAGCGUGGGUAUCGAACAGGAUUAGAUACCCGAGUAGUC